CUCCCCGGAGCGGGGCGGGCCCAGCGACCUAGCGUUGCUGGUUGCUACGGUCCGUUGCUGGGGGUUGGGUGCUUCUCUUGGAACUGCGACCUCACUGGACCUUUACCUCGCGCUCUAAGUUCCGAGGAAAAGGGGAUGGAAAAUGAAAACUCGAUUGGUCUGAGAAGCAGCUGACUAGUGUAGGAAUCCAGAGCUUCCAGGCACUUCUUCUGAUACUAGGGAAGGAAAAUUGUCAGCAUCAACCACAAUUCAAAAAUACUCAGAAACUUUUCAGUCCUCACUUAACCAGUAGUUAUGCAAAACAUCGCUUAUUAUUCAUUAAAAUGCAACAGUACCCACAGCUUCUUCGAAGACCCUUACCUCCCCAAAUCCCUAAGCUGUCUUCAUAUAAGAAGAAAUUCCAUACAGCCAAGACUGAUGAAACUAAGCUACUUCAUAUAAAGUUUACUGGUACUAAAGAUGGAACCUCUUCAAUUAAAAGAGAUAAAAACAAUUUUCCUGAUGUUGUAUCAAGAAAUCAAUCACAAGCACUUGUGAAGGUCCAAAAUAUCUUUCUUGAUUAUCCUGAACCAAAAAGAGUGACACCUAUUCCAAUAAUCCACAAAUCUACUAAAAAUGUCUAUUCACACAUUCGAGACACUAUUUCAGUCACUGGUCCUAUAUUUCUUCCAAGUCACCUUUCAGCAUCUACUCAAAUUUUUAGGAAAGAAACAAAGCAGGUGGAACAUUCAAGAAAGUCCCCCAAAACACCUCA
rnacentral:lncRNA from 1 species